UACAGAGGUCCCGAGCGUUGUUCGGAUUCAUUGGGCGUAAAGGGUGCGUAGGCGGUCUUCUAAGUUUGAUGUGAAAUCCCGGGGCUCAACCCUGGAAUUGCAUUGAAUACUGGAGGACUAGAGUACUGGAGAGGAAACUGGAAUUUACGGUGUAGCAGUGAAAUGCGUAGAGAUCGUAAGGAAGACCAGUGGCGAAGGCGAGUUUCUGGACAGUGACUGACGCUGAGGCACGAGGGCCAGGGGAGCAAACGGG
rnacentral:rRNA from 1 species